GGGAUGAGGAGUUCGAGCGCUGCAGCCACUUCUUCCAGAUGAAAAACAUCUCCUUCUGCGGGUGCCACCCCCGGAACAGCUGCUACUUCGGGUUCAUCACCAAGCACCCGGUGCUGAGCCGCUUCGCCUGCCACGUGUUCGUGUCCCAGGAGUCCAUGAGACACGUGGCCGAGUGUGUCGGCCGAGCGUUUCAGGAAUAUUACCAGGAGCACCUGGAAUAUGCCUGCCCCACAGAGGACAUCUACCUGGAGUAGGGGGGCAGCGAGGGGGGGGGGGCUCCUGCUUCCGCACCCCCCUCCAGCCCCACGGCGGCCAGAGACUGUGUG